UACGUAGGUGGCAAGCGUUAUCCGGAUUUACUGGGUGUAAAGGGAGCGCAGACGGAACUGCAAGUCUGAUGUGAAAGCCCGGGGCUCAACCGCGGGACUGCAUUGGAAACUGUAGAUCUGGAGUGCCGGAGGGGCAAGCGGAAUUCCUGGUGUAGCGGUGAAAUGCGUAGAUAUCAGGAGGAACACCGGCGGCGAAGGCGGCUUUCUGGCCAGUUACUGACGCUCAUGCGCGAAAGCUGGGGUAGCGAACCGGAUUAGAUACCCU
rnacentral:rRNA from 1 species